AGCAGCCGCGGUAAUUCCAGCUCCAAUAGCGUAUAUUAAAGUUGCUGCAGUUAAAAAGCUCGUAGUUGAAUUUCGGGACCAUCACGUCGGUCGUGCCUCGGUACGUACUGGCGUCGUUGGUUUCUCCCUUCUGACGAACCAUGAUGUCAUUUAUUUGGUGUCGUGGGGAAUCAGGACUGUUACUUUGAAAAAAUUAGAGUGUUUAAAGCAGGCUCACGCUUGAAUACAUUAGCAUGGAAUAAUGAAAUAGGACGUUUGAUUCUAUUUUGUUGGUUUCUAGGAUCGACGUAAUGAUUAAUAGGGAUAGUUGGGGGCAUUAGUAUUCAAUUGUCAGAGGUGAAAUUCUUGGAUUUAUUGAAGACUAACUACUGCGAAAGCAUUUGCCAAGGAUGUUUUCAUUAAUCAAGAACGAAAGUUAGGGGAUCGAAGACGAUCAGAUACCGUCGUAGUCUUAACCAUAAACUAUGCCGACUAGGGAUCGGAUGAUGUUAAUUUUUAAUGACUCAUUCGGCGCCUUAAC
rnacentral:rRNA from 1 species